AGUACCAUAGAGGAGAUACAGGUUAGUACCAUAGAGGAGAUACAGGUUAGUACCAUAGAGGAGAUACAGGUUAGUACCGUAGAGGAGAUACAGGUUAGUACCAUAGAGGAGAUACAGGUUAGUACCAUAGAGGAGAUACAGGUUAGUACUGUAGAGGAGAUACAGGUUAGUACUGUAGAGGAGAUACAGGUUAGUACCGUAGAGGAGAUACAGGUUAGUACCGUAGAGGAGAUACAGGUUAGUACCGUAGAGGAGAUACAGGUUAGUACCGUAGAGGAGAUACAGGUUAGUACCGUAGAGGAGAUACAGGUUAGUACCGUAGAGGAGAUACAGGUUAGUACCAUAGAGGAGAUACAGGUUAGUACAGGUUAGUACCAUAGAGGAGAUACAGGUUAGUACCGUAGAGGAGAUACAGGUUAGUACCAUAGAGGAGAUACAGGUUAGUACCAUAGAGGAGAUACAGGUUAGUACCAUAGAGGAGAUACAGGUUAGUACCAUAGAGGAGAUACAGGUUAGUACCGUAGAGGAGAUACAGGUUAGUACCGUAGAGGAGAUACAGGUUAGUACCGUAGAGGAGAUACAGGUUAGUACCGUAGAGGAGAUACAGGUUAGUACCGUAGAGGAGAUACAGGUUAGUACCGUAGAGGAGAUACAGGUUAGUACCGUAGAGGAGAUACAGGUUAGUACCGUAGAGGAGAUACAGGUUAGUACUGUAGAGGAGAUACAGGUUAGUACCAUAGAGGAGAUACAGGUUAGUACCGUAGAGGAGAUACAGGUUAGUACCGUAGAGGAGAUACAGGUUAGUACCGUAGAGGAGAUACAGGUUAGUACCAUAGAGGAGAUACAGGUUAGUACCGUAGAGGAGAUACAGGUUAGUACCGUAGAGGAGAUACAGGUUAGUACCGUAGAGGAGAUACAGGUUAGUACCGUAGAGGAGAUACAGGUUAGUACCAUAGAGGAGAUACAGGUUAGUACCGUAGAGGAGAUACAGGUUAGUACCGUAGAGGAGAUACAGGUUAGUACCGUAGAGGAGAUACAGGUUAGUACCGUAGAGGAGAUACAGGUUAGUACCGUAGAGGAGAUACAGGUUAGUACCGUAGAGGAGAUACAGGUUAGUACCGUAGAGGAGAUACAGGUUAGUACCGUAGAGGAGAUACAGGUUAGUACCGUAGAGGAGAUACAGGUUAGUACCGUAGAGGAGAUACAGGUUAGUACCGUAGAGGAGAUACAGGUUAGUACCGUAGAGGAGAUACAGGUUAGUACCGUAGAGGAGAUACAGGUUAGUACCGUAGAGGAGAUACAGGUUAGUACCGUAGAGGAGAUACAGGUUAGUACCGUAGAGGAGAUACAGGUUAGUACCGUAGAGGAGAUACAGGUUAGUACCGUAGAGGAGAUACAGGUUAGUACCGUAGAGGAGAUACAGGUUAGUACCGUAGAGGAGAUACAGGUUAGUACCGUAGAGGAGAUACAG